AAGAUAUUAUUUGGAUUAUUUAAUUGGUGAAUGUUAAUUAAAGUAAUAUUAGUGAAUGUAUUUUAGUAUAGUUUAUGGAAUUUAGGGAAUGAAUAAUAGAGGAGUAGUACUGUGAAGGAAGGAUGAAAUAUAUGAAAUAGUUAUUGGAAUGAAAGAAGAAUGGAGUUUGUACCUUGGGUAUCAGGGUUUAUUAAUUAAUAAUAGUGAUUUUUAUAGUUCUCGAAAUAAGAAGAGUUAAAGUAGUAGUGUAGUUAAUGUGUUAUUAUUAUUAGUAAUACUAUUGUAGUAAUGAAAUGUUAAACGUUUUUUGAGUUAUCUAGUUUCCUAAGAAAUGAAUUUAAUUCAUGUUAUUAUGAGUAGGCGUUUGAUUGAUAUCAAUUGUUUAUUUUUGAUAACAAAUAUAUGAAGGGAUAAGCUUUUGUAUAUAAAUUAUAAAUUUUUUUUAUGGAUUAUGAAAAGUGGUAGGCUUUAAAUUAGCUAUCAAUGAAAUAAUGUUAUAAGUUGUUUUGUUACUGAAUUAUUUUUUAAUAGUUUUAAUUUGUUUAUUGGGAUAUUAUAUUGAAUAGGUUAAUAUAAGUAAUGAUGAUAAAAUGAGUAUAUAAAAUUGUUUAUCUUAAUAUUUUUGGGAAUUUAUAGUAAGGAACUAGGCAAAUUAUCACUCGCCUGUUUAUCAAAAACAUCUCCUUUUGUGUGUAUUUAAGGUAGGGCCUGCCCACUGAAGGUUAUUUGAAGGGCCGCGGUAUUAUGACCGUGCAAAGGUAGCAUAAUCAUUAGUCUUUUAAUUGAAGGCUGGAAUGAAUGGUUUGACGAGGUGAUGACUGUCUCAGUAUAAUAAGUAGAAGUUAACUUUUAAGUUAAAAGGCUUAAAUUUUAGUGGAGGACGAGAAGACCCUAUAGAGCUUUAUAUAUAAAUUUAGAUUUGAAUUUAGAAGUUUGUGGGAAUUUGGAUUAAUUAUAUUAUGUUGGGGUGACAUAAAGAUAAAAUUAACUCUUUAUAUAAGGAACAUUGAUGUAUGGAUUUAUUGAUCCAUUUUUAGUGAUCAUAAGAUUAAGUUACCUUAGGGAUAACAGCGUAAUUUUUCUUGAGAGUUCAUAUCAACAGAGAAGAUUGCGACCUCGAUGUUGGAUUAAGGAAUAUAAUUAGAUGCAGCAGUUUAGUUAAUAGGUCUGUUCGACCUUUGAAUCCUUACAUGAUCUGAGUUCAGACCGGUGUAAGCCAGGUCGGUUUCUAUCCUCAUUAUUUUGUUAUACUUUAGUACGAAAGGACCAAGUAUUUUAAAUAUUUUAUUUUAUUUGAUUAUUAGUA
rnacentral:rRNA from 1 species